UCAAACUUGGUCAUUUAGAGGAAGUAAAAGUCGUAACAAGGUUUCCGUAGGUGAACCUGCGGAAGGAUCAUUAAUGGAUGUUCAAGGCAGUGGGUUGUGCUGGCCUCUCGAGGCAUUGUGCACGCCUCUGUCAAAACCUUCACACACCCUUGUGAACCAAAUUUGUGUUGGGGAUUCGAGCUGUCGAAGCCGAUGGACGCUGGUUGACGGCCGAAAGCGGUUCGCCGGCUCUUGUCCCCCCCGCAAGUAGUUUUUACAAACCCCUUUUAAUUCUUGUACGAGAAGGCUUAUGCAAUAAUAAAUACAACUUUCAACAACGGAUCUCUUGGCUCUCGCAUCGAUGAAGAACGCAGC
rnacentral:misc_RNA from 1 species